rnacentral:lncRNA from 1 species
AUGCUCCCGCAUCAGAGAAUCGCGGGGCGAGAGCGGAGAACAUUUCACUGGCGGACCGCCUCACCGUGGACCACGUGCGUGAGAGUGGCGUGUUGCAGUCGCCUGCGUUUUAUGUGGUUCGCUCUGAUGGUCUUGACGGUCCUCUGCGUAGCACUGCAGAUGCUGGGAGUCGUCCGACAGGCCAGGUUGAUUAUGUUUUUAUGAAAAAUUCAUAGUGACUUACGCAUAGCGAAUUAUAAAUAGACUGAACAGUCAACUGAAGACUACUUGUUGAACGAAGUUCCCUAGAGGCAUUACACUGGAACAGAAGGAGAUCGGAGAUAUAAGAUGGAGCCAGUCCAUGGAAACCCUUAUAAACAAACAACACUGUUUUAAAAUGGAUAUGAUAUUUAACUGGGAGCCAGUGGAGAGAGAUCAACACUGGUGAAAUAUGUUUCCUCUUCAUUGUUCCAGUUAACAAUCGAGCGGCAGCAUUUUGAACAAGUUGAAGGCAAGACAGUAGAGACUGUGAAACACCCAAGUACAAUACAUUACAAUAAUCUAAUCUGGAUGAAAUAAAAGACAUGUAUUACAGUCUAAUCUAAUCUGGAUGAAAUAAAAGCAUGUAUUACAGUCUCCAUGUCUCUUGAUGUUAAGAAUGACUUCAUCUUUGCAAUAUUCUUUAGCUGAUAAAGACAACUUCUAACCACAGCAUUGAUCUGUUUAUCAAAAGUCAAAGCAGAGUCAAAAGUGAUGCCUAAGUUUCUGAUAUGUGAAUGAAGAUUAUCAUAUAGAGGUCCCAGUUUACUGGCCACAACCUCUGUAGAAGCAUGGGAGCCAAAGAUUAAGACCUCAGUCUUAGACUCAUUUAACUGAAGGAAAUUGGCAGACAUCCACUCUUUAACAUCUCUCAGACAAUCAAACAGACACUGUAAACUGGAGACAUCCUUUGGGUACAAGGGAACAUAACAUUGAGUAUCAUCUGCGAAACAGUGGUAUGAAACAUUGUGUCUCUUAAAUAUAGGAUACAAAGGAAGACAUAGUAAAUAAAAAAAAUAGAAACUAAACAAACAACACUCGUUUUUAAAAUUAGGAUAUGAUAUUUAACUGGGAGCCAGUGGAGAGAGAUCAACACUGGUGAAAUAUGUUUCCUCUUCAUUGUUCCAGUUAACAAUCGAGCGGCAGCAUUUUGAACAAGUUGAAGGCAAGACAGUAGAGACUGUGAAACACCCAAGUACAAUACAUUACAAUAAUCUAAUCUGGAUGAAAUAAAAGCAUGUAUUACAGUCUCCAUGUCUCUUGAUGUUAAGAAUGACUUCAUCUUUGCAAUAUUCUUUAGCUGAUAAAGACAACUUCUAACCACAGCAUUGAUCUGUUUAUCAAAAGUCAAAGCAGAGUCAAAAGUGAUGCCUAAGUUUCUGAUAUGUGAAUGAAGAUUAUCAUAUAGAGGUCCCAGUUUACUGGCCACAACCUCUGUAGAAGCAUGGGAGCCAAAGAUUAAGACCUCAGUCUUAGACUCAUUUAACUGAAGGAAAUUGGCAGACAUCCACUCUUUAACAUCUCUCAGACAAUCAAACAGACACUGUAAACUGGAGACAUCCUUUGGGUACAAGGGAACAUAACAUUGAGUAUCAUCUGCGAAACAGUGGUAUGAAACAUUGUGUCUCUUAAAUAUAGGAUACAAAGGAAGCAUGUAUAAAAAAAAAUAGAACAGGACCCAAAAUUGAGCCCUGUGGAACCCCAUACAAAACUGGUGCACGAGAUGAUGAAUAUUUGCCAGUCUCUACAGAGAAGGUUCGAUCCUUUAAAUAGGAUACAAACCAAUUUAAAACACGUCCUUGAAUCCCAAUUUGCUGUAAGUGUUUUAAAAGAAUGCCAUGAUCGAGAGUGUCAAAUGCCACACUAAGGUCCAGCAAAAUUAAAACAGCACAAUUGUCGGAAUCAGCAAUAAGUCGUUUAAUACUUUUAGCAAUGCAGAUUCUGUAAUGUGUUGAGGUCUGAAGCCAGACUUAUAUUUAUCGAAAUUACCAUUUUCCUGUAGAAAAGAAGAAAGCUGAUUAAACACAACGUUCUCCAAAACUUUUGAUAAAAAACUGUAAUUUAGAAAUGGGACAGUAAUUAUUUAAAACUGUUGGAUCAAGCAUUGUUUUUUUGAGUAGUGGCUGUACAGUGGCAUGCUUAAAAUAGGAUGGGACUAUUCCACUGAUUAAACUGCUAUUAAUUAUUGACAGUAAACUAGGACUGAUAGUGUCAAGUGUCUCUAAUAAGAGACAAGGAGGAAGAACAUCCAAUGAACAAAAAGUGGGCUUCAUUUUAUAAAUAAUUUUCACCAGGUAACUGUGAGACACUGGUGUAAAUUCAGAUAAAUAUGUAGAAACUGAUGUGGACUGAGGGAAGUCCAGCAAGGAGGGAACAAUACAUGAUCUUAUAACAUUGAUCUUGUCAGUAAAAAACUUAAAAAAGUUUUCACAGGCCAUAGGAGAAAGAGCCGGAUAUAAAUUAGACAUUGGAUUUAGGAAACUAUUGAUGGUAUUAAAUAAUAUUUUUGGACUAUAAGCGUUCUUAGCAAUGAGAUCAGAGAAAUAAUUUGCCUUUGCAAUCUUAACAGUUUUUUGAUAGUGAAUCAUACACAUUUUUUGAUGCAAUAAUAUGAUACUUGUAAUUUAUCCCUCUUCCACUUUCUUUCCGCUUUUUUCCAUUUCUGUCUAAUUGCCCUAGUUUCAUCAUUAAACCAAGAAUGUACACAACUUCUAGGUCUUUUUAAUUUAAAGGAGGCAAGCGCAUCAAGUAUAUUUAAACAUUAAACUUAUUAACUAACUCGUUGGGAUUAGCUCCAAGACAGUUAGACUCUAUUUCAUGAGUUAUAGGGGAAAUAAAAUAAGCAUCUAAGAAUUUUUCAGAUGUGGAUGAGAUAAAAGAACGGACAUACCGGCCUACCGAGGCGGGGUGUGGUAGCGGACUAGGAACAGCUAUGUUAAAAAUAAUAGACUUAUGAUCGGACAGAAAAAAUUCUUUAAUACCUACAUCACUUACUAAAAGGCCAUAGGAUAAAAUUAAAUCAAGUGUUUGCCCUUGGUUAUGAGUGGGACCAACAACAGAUUGUAUAAGAUUGAAGGUGUCGAUAAUUUGGAGAAACUCUUUAACCAUAGGCUUUGAAGGGCAACAAACAAGUAUGUUAAAAUCACCCAAUAUCAAGAACCUCCAGAAUCUCCAUUUGGCACAACAGAGGAUAAAAAAUAUGAGAAGUCACUUAUAAAAUCCUUAUUGUACUUGGGGGUCUAUAAACAAGUAUACAUAACAGUGGAUUACAGCCGUCCAUCUUAAAUAUCUGAACUUCAAAACUAGAAAACAAUUCCGAGGCAAGUAGACGGGAUUUUAAUUUACAGGUCCUUCUCAAAAAAUUAGCAUAUUGUGAAAAAGUUCAUUAUUUUCCAUAAUGUAAUGAUAAAAAUUAAACUUUCAUAUAUUUUAGAUUCAUUGCACACCAACUGAAAUAUUUCAGGUCUUUUAUUGUUUUAAUACUGAUGAUUUUGGCAUACAGCUCAUGAAAACCCAAAAUUCCUAUCUCAAAAAAUUAGCAUAUCAUGAAAAGGUUCUCUAAACGAGCUAUUAACCUAAUCAUCUGAAUCAACUAAUUAACUCUAAACACCUGCAAAAGAUUCCUGAGGCUUUUAAAAACUCCCAGCCUGGUUCAUUACUCAAAACCGCAAUCAUGGGUAAGACUGCCGACCUGACUGCUGUCCAGAAUACACUGCUGUGCCUGGAGGAGAG